CCGGACUAAAUCAAACAACAUUACUUGGAUCAAAGUGCAGUGUCCGAUACAGCGAAACAGUUCAGAUUGCGGAUACUAUGUUUUGAGGUUUAUGAAAGAAAUCCUUCAAACGAAUCAAUUAGAGAUUCCAAUCACGUACUUUGACGACUUCUAUGCUGCUUCUUACACGAGACUUAAGUUGGAAGAAAUCAAAGAGGAUUUGUGUCAAUUUUAUAUUCAUCAGCUAUUCAUG